GCAAUACACGAAAGUGUGACAAGGCUAUCCCGAGUGCCAUCCGCUGAGGAAGGCUUUUACCCAGUAUAAAUAGCUGGGAGAAUAAGGAGAGGGCAAGUCUGGUGUCAGCCGCCGCGGUAAUACCAGCUCUCCGAGUAGUGUGGAUGUUUAUUGGGCCUAAAGCAUCCGUAGCUUGCUAAGCAAGUCCCCUGUUAAAUCCACCGAUUCAAUCGUUGGAUUGCGGGGGAUACUGUUUGGCUAGGGGACGGGAGAGGUCGACGGUAUUUCCGGGGUAGGGGUGAAAUCCUAUAAUCCCGGGAGGACCACCAGUGGCGAAGGCUGUCGACUAGAACGCGCCCGACGGUGAGGGAUGAAAGCUGGGGGAGCGAACCGGAUUAGAUACCCGGGUAGUCCCAGCUGUAAACGAUGCAGGCUAGGUGUUUGGGCGGCUACGAGCCGCCCUAGUGCCGCAGGGAAGCUGUUAAGCCUGCCGCCUGGGGAGUACGGCUGCAAGGCUGAAACUUAA
rnacentral:rRNA from 1 species